GCAGAGCUUGGAAUACUCAUUGCCUCCCUGGAUCUUGUGGCCCCAAUUCUUUCCAUGUUUUUUCUCAUGUGUUACCUCUUUGUAAACUUGGCAUGUGCCUUGCAAACAUUACUUCGAACACCCAACUGGAGACCCCGAUUCCGCUACUACCAUUGGGCCCUUUCUUUCAUGGGAAUGAGUAUCUGUCUGGCUCUGAUGUUCAUUUCUUCCUGGUAUUAUGCCAUUGUAGCCAUGGUAAUAGCUGGUAUGAUCUACAAGUACAUUGAAUACCAAGGAGCUGAGAAAGAAUGGGGUGAUGGUAUCCGUGGGCUGUCCCUCAGUGCAGCCCGGUUUGCUUUGCUUCGAUUGGAGGAAGGACCUCCACACACUAAAAACUGGAGGUAAAGAAAUCAACACUAGCAGUAUUUGGCACAUAGUUAACACACAAAAAUAUGUGUUUUGUUGAUUUUAGGAUAAGGAAACCAUAUGUGGCUCAAGGAAUUGGUAUAAUGGACUUGUUUUGAACUAUUCUAAAUCGUUAAUUUUUUUAUUCCCUUUUCUUCAUGUCGUU
rnacentral:sRNA from 1 species